rnacentral:rRNA from 1 species
UAAACGACUCUCGGCAACGGAUAUCUCAGCUCUCGCAUCGAUGAAGAAUGUAGUGGAAUGCAGUACUUGGUGUGAAUUAUAGAAUCCCGUGAACCAUUGAGUCUUUGAACGCAAGUUGCGCCAGAAGCCAUUAGGCCGAGGGCACGUCUGCCUGGGCGUCACAU